AAACCAGACUCCUACGGGAGGCAGCAGUGGGGAAUAUUGCACAAUGGGGGAAACCCUGAUGCAGCAACGCCGCGUGAGUGAAGAAGUAUUUCGGUAUGUAAAGCUCUAUCAGCAGGGAAGAAGAUGACGGUACCUGAGUAAGAAGCCCCGGCUAACUACGUGCCAGCAGCCGCGGUAAUACGUAGGGGGCAAGCGUUAUCCGGAUUUACUGGGUGUAAAGGGAGCGUAGACGGUGAGACAAGUCUGAAGUGAAAGCCCGGGGCUCAACCCCGGGACUGCGUUGGAAACUGCGGCGCUGGAGUACGGGAGGGGCAGGCGGAAUUCCUGGUGUAGCGGUGAAAUGCGUAGAUAUCAGGAGGAACACCGGCGGCGAAGGCGGCCUGCUGGACCGUAACUGACGUUGAGGCUCGAAAGCGUGGGGAGCAAACAGGAUUAGAUACCCCGGUAAA
rnacentral:rRNA from 1 species